UCGGUUUUGUUGGGUGGCACGAAGUCAGCCGCUUGCCGUACUCGGGUCUCUGCUGGCGGACCAUCUUACUUGUUUCUAUCCAUUCGGAAGCGUGUUUGUAUCCAAGGCCAGUGCACAAAGACACAACACUUAGUGUAAGGAGCACAAAACCUGGACUACUGAGAAAUGGAAAAUGGAAGUUCGGAAGCACAGCGUGUGAAGUAAAUAUCCACCUCCUUCAUCACUCAAAGAACUGGAGGCUUUUCUUCUUGACUAAUGGGGUUCCAUCUGCCUGGAACUGAAAGAUGAGAGAGACCGGCAUCAGUUUCCACCGGCUAAUACGACGCAACACAACGAGCUGGCCCAAAGCACGUCAGCUGUAGCCAAUGUAUCACAUUAGUAGCAGACUUAAUGCUAUGAGAUGUAACUGCGUGGCUAAAAGAACAGUGCAUCACCAGGCAGACAAGGCCAGCUUCCAUUAGGCCCUAGCCAUUUCUUCUCUGUUAAUCUUUGAUGGGACUGUCAUGUGAGGAUAAAUGCCAAACAGCUCUACCUCUUUCACUGGGUCUUUGAUUUGUGACCUGAAUGCACUUAAUCUCAAUGGCAUUAUAGAUUUAUACCUAUUUUUAUGUAGAGAAUCACCUUGGAUUUUCUAGAUAUAGAUGGAAUCAAUGCGUUAUAGUUAUUUGUGGAUGAAAGGAAGUCUCAUUUAUAUGAACCGGGUAGAGGAAGUCUCAUGUCUUUCUCUUUGGAUAGCCUGCUUGAGUGAGGAACAGAUUACCAUUUCUGUACAUGACAUACAAUUAAUUGCUGUAUGUGACAACUUGGCUUGAUCUGAACUGAUCACUACCCAUUGAGAAAACCAGAAACAUUCCCAAAACAUUAGCUAACAUUACUUCUAUUUAGAAAGUAAGCUAACAUCUGUUUGAUAACAUUGCACAAACAUUCAAGUAAUCUUUUUGAUCCCCAAAUAUCUUUCAAGCAAUGUUUCAAAUAGAAUA